rnacentral:rRNA from 1 species
UACGGAGGGUGCAAGCGUUGUCCGGAUUUAUUGGGUUUAAAGGGUGCGUAGGCGGCUAAUUAAGUCAGCGGUGAAAUUCCACAGCUUAACUGUGAGAACUGCCAUUGAUACUGGUUGGCUUGAGUACAGAUGAGGUAGGCGGAAUUGACAGUGUAGCGGUGAAAUGCUUAGAUAUUGUCAAGAACACCGAUAGCGAAGGCAGCUUACUAGGCUGUAACUGACGCUGAGGCACGAAAGUGUGGGGAUCAAACAGG